rnacentral:rRNA from 1 species
UACGGAGGAGGCAAGCGUUAUCCGGAAUCAUUGGGCGUAAAGCGCGUGUAGGCGGUUCGGUAAGUCCGCUGUGAAAGUCGGGGGCUCAACCCUCGGAUGCCGGUGGAUACUGUCGGACUAGAGUACGGAAGAGGCGAGUGGAAUUCCUGGUGUAGCGGUGAAAUGCGCAGAUAUCAGGAGGAACACCGAUUGCGAAGGCAGCUCGCUGGGACGUUACUGACGCUGAGACGCGAAAGCGUGGGGAGCAAACAGG